UCCCAAGCAAUAAGGUACUGGAAAGAGGCUGCCCUGUUUUCUGUGAGAACUGAUUAGUGUCUUUUGAAGAAGGCAGUUGGCUACUACUGGGGAAGUAUUUUAGUGACUGUGGAGCGUGGGAAAAUAUUCCUUUGUUGGCAGAGAGGCGAACUUGUCAUGUAAACUAACUGAUAUAUCCAAGGAAAGGGACAGUAUUUCCGGCCGUUUGUUCCUUUCUAUUGAUGGGUGUAGGAGCUACAGGAAUGGAAAUACCCAAGGUAAUUCUUGACAUGGAGAUUUUGAAGAACUUACAGUUGGGUCUUUGCAAAGUGGCACUUACUAGUCAGGGUGUCAGUAAAGGCAAGUUACCCUUCCUGGAAGAACUUUGAAUGAGAUGCAAAGAGACCCUGGGAACUUGACCAGUCAAUCUUAGAAGCAUGAAGAGAAUGCAGUGGGAGGAAGUGGUGGCCGUGAGUCAGCAUGAGUCAUUCUGUUCCAAUGAGAAUGAAGGCUGACUGAGAGGCACCCUGUUCACAAGGAGGUGGAGCAACAGACUUCUCCCUGGCACUGCUUUGAAGACAGAUUCCCUGUGGAUGGUGAAGUUCUUCAUAGGCUCCUGGUUGUGGAUGAUGAUAUUGUAUUGAUUGAAUCAAGCCUCAGGACAUCACAGGCCCUCCUUGAAGAAUCUAUAUUUGCCAGAGGAGCUUAGCCUGUCUAAUCACACAGGAAAAAUCAAGUAGCUGAAGAAUUUUUCUUGCUAAGAUUUCAGCUCAUAUAUAGAAGGAUACGCUGUAGCUCUCGCUCAACAGUAUAAAGAGGACGAGAGUGGGCUGGAUUGCUUUUAGGAACUUGAAGAAAAAAUAUUGACUUUAAGCUUCUGAUGAAAGUGAAGGCUUUUCAAUGUUAACAUAUUACCAGUGUUACUUUAUGGCAACAAAACAUAAUGUUCUACUGCCUUCAAAGAAAUCAAGAGAAAUACCACAUAGAAAGCAAUGGAGAAGCCCAUGCUUAAUAUGAGCAGGCUGAAGCAUAUACCCCCAUGAGGAACUCUAAAGAGUGGUACAGUGGAUAGAAUGCCAGGCCUGGAAUCAGAAGACCCAAGUUCAAAUCCAGCUUCAGACACUUACUAGUUGUGUGACAUUGGGCAAUUCACUUACCCCUGUUUGCCUCAGUUUCCUCAUCUGUAAAAUGAACUGGAGAAGGAAAUGGUAAACCACUCUUGUAUCUUGCCAAGAAAAUCCCCCAAAAGGGUCCAAAAGACUGAACAACAACAAGAACAAAGAAGAAUAGGAGUAAAGGACAUCAUCAAGGAAUCCAACAACAGGAAAAGUUGAUGGACUGGUCAUAAGGCAAGAGUAAGGGAUGACAAGUGGACAGCCAGAAUGUUUCAUGGGCACUUGCCUGAUAAUAAGAGAAAAUGAGAAAGUCUCUGGCACAUUGAGUGGAUGCUUUGUGGUGAAAAAACAAGAGUCGGGUGGAAUAAUCAGGCAUAGAUAGAUUGUGAUGUGUAUUGUUGAAGAAAACUUCUGAAUAGAUGAUAUCACACCACCAUUUUGAGUUUGUGGUCAAACAAAGGAAUUUCAAUGGCCCUACAAUACCAACAGAGAACCUGCAUGAUUGUUCACAGUUGUCUGGGGAUACCUCCUGAGAAUGUGAAAUGCAAAGCAGGGAAAGAGCUCAAAGUAGAAGGUCUAAAAUAAGAAGAAUUGAGUGAAUCCAGGAAACAGAGACAAAAAGGAUUAAGCAGCUUGCGCAGAGUCUCACAGCUGAAACAAUAAAAAGCCAAUGGACUUGUCUAAAUCUACUGUCUGAGGUUGUCAGCAAACAUUUAUUAAACAUCUACUAUGUGCUUGCCAUCCUGUUAAGAGCUGAGAUGCAAUAAAGGCAGAAACAAUCUCUACAUUCAAGGAAUUUAAAAUCUCAUGGGAAAGACAACAUGCCAGACAUGUUUCUGAACUUCAAAGCUUGAGUUAAAAGUCACUGCCAAAGUGAGCAAUGGUGAGUUUUCUACAAACUUUUUACCUCAUUGUUUGUAGGAACUUUCUCCCAAGGUUCAGAUUUUUAUCCAUUUACAGAUGAGUAAAAGCAAAAACGAAACUGGAAAUUUAAACCAAUUGUAUAAAUAAGAUGGGGGCAUCUAGGUGGUACAGUGAUAGAGAGCAAGGCUUGGAGUCAGGAAGACUCAUCUUCCUGAGUUCAGAUUGCUUCAGACAUUACUAGCUAUGUGACUCUGGGCAAGUCACUUCACCCUGUUUUCCUUGGUGUCCUCAUCCAUAAAAUGAACUGGAGAGAGAAGUGGCAAAUGACUCCAGUAUCUUUGCCACGAGAACCCCAAAUGAGAUUGCAAAAAGUUGGACAUGAUCGAAAACCAUUGACAACAGUAACAACAACCACUAGAAGAUGGGGAUGGGGAAAAGAGGGGAAUUUUUUUAACCUGUGGUCUUUAUUUGGUAUUCAAAAUAUUAGGGACAAGGGUGGCUAAUGGAGGAAGGAUAUACUUUUACAGACAAGCAACUAAUAUUUGUCUUAACUGGGGCUACAACUUAAUUCCUUUCUCCUAAUAUGGCACAUGUAUAUCUCUAUCUACAACAUUGCAGUCACAGCUGGGUAGACUUUCAGUAUUGCCUAAAGAAUAAUUCAGAAGCAGAGAAAAUGCGAUCAUCUAAUGAUGUUACGGAACUUUACAACAUAAUUUCUCCUCUAAUUGAUGUUCUAGCUUAGUCAUAGCAUAGUCUGAUGUAAUUAUACUAAAAUAGAAGCAAAGAUACUAUGAGAUUAAUUAGCCAGUGCCUAUAAAGUUUCAAGCUUCUUCAGGAAAGAUUUUUUCUUCUCAGACUUGUGGUUUCAUCUUCUUAGUGAAGUCCCCGUAUGGAAAUUCCCUCCAAUAAAGCUGAUCAGCAAGUCAUCUGCAACAAAUAAUCUUAGAGUUGUCCAAAAAGUGCUUGUCUCAUGGUUACACAGUUAAUGAGGAUUAGAAGAAAGACUUGAAUCUAGGUGACCAAUCUGUUUUCCAUUAUAUUACACUAUUUACCUAGAAAGGAAGCCAUCCACUAAAUAAUAUUAUAUAUAUAUAUAUGCAUGUAUAUCUGUAUAUAUCUUUAUAUAUGUUGUAUUUUUAUAAUAAUUUAUCUAUAAUAAAUUAUUUUCUAACUCCUGGAGACCCAAUGUCUUGGCUGCUUCAAAAUCCACUAAACUUCAUGCCCUCUGACUCCACUAUGCCAUAUUGCAUGCCAGCUAUGGGCUGGACCAAAGGCAUAAGGGUAUUGUGGCACUGCUGCGUUUGGAGACAUCCACGCCCCUGGUCCAAGUUCUCUUCCCCAUUCUUCUACACCCAAACAGCUUCCUAGUCUGAGUGCCUCAGGGCUGUUUCUGGGACCCCUUUAGCACAAGAUGCCUACAUGGAGCUCAGCUGAGCUGAGUUCUACCUUUGCCUAAACUAUGAAGAAAGGACUGCUAAGCAAAUUGAUGGUAUAAAACAGCAGGGGAGGAAGGAGGGAGGGAGGGCAGUGUAUUUAAUCUAUGGAAGAAAACAGGCUGUUUUCAAACACUUAAGCAUCACUUAUUUGCAUGCAAACAAUUACAUCCUAAUUACAAAUUAUUCUUAGGAGUGCAUUUAAGCAGACCUGGCAGGACUGUUACUUGGCAGGACUUGGUUAACCAUUAUUAGUGUUACUCUAAGACUCACUUGAAUUCAAAUUUUUACAAAAUGCGUCGUCUACUAUAACUCAUUUAUAGAAUGUUUUUAAAGGAUUUACAGAGAGCUUUCCAAACAUUAUCUCAUUUGAUCCCUACAACAAUGCUAUGACAUAGAUUGAAUUACUAUUCUCAUUUUAUAAGUGAGGGAAUUGAGUCUCCCAGAUGUUGAGUGAUUUACCCAGGAAAACAGCUACUUAGUGUUCAAGACAUCAUCCCGGCCAAAGACUUCCCAACUCUAAUUAGAAAACCCCAUCUAUUUGCCCUGUUUAGUGAUAGUUUGCUUGAGACAAGGUUCUUGCCCUCAUAGGAGUUACAGACUAGUAAGAUCCACAUAAGAAACAUACUAAUAAACUACAUAUUUUAAAGGGACACAAAUAAGGUUCUAUAUGAGGUCUAAAGUGAAGGAAUGAGUCAUGAUUUAUUUCCUAUUUGAGGCCCAUGGUGGACUUUCAUGAUAAAGGUAAUUUCUGAUUUAGGAUUUUAAAAGUAGGCAGAAAUUCAACAGGUUGAAAGAGUGAAUGGGAGGACAUUUCAGGGAUAAUUAUUGAAAUUUCAUCUCCCAGGGUUUGUAAGAUUUCAGAUCUGGAAGAGAAAACAGAAAUCAUAUCAACUUUUUAUUAUGUAAAUUCUUUUAGAAGUUAGGUGAAAUCAAUAGAUGCCUCAGAAUACCGUUUUUAAAAUGAAUAAAAUUAUAUACAUGGAAUUAAAAAGGAAAUCACUUGAAAUAGAUAUCAAAGUAUUUUGUGGUUGAACAAGAGCAAGCAUACACACACACACACACACACACACAUACACACACACACUCCCUCAUCUUGCAGAUAAGAAAACUGAUGAUCAGGAAAGUAAACUGACUUGUCCAAGGUAAUGUACCAUUUCUUGAAACAACAUUCUAUAAUUUAUACUCUUUACAAAUUCAGGCUGUACCUUCCUCAUCUGCAAUUUGUAUGAAUUAGCAAAGUUUUACUGAAUUGUGAGGGUAAUACUUAAAACAUGCUUUAUGUCAUAAAGUUGAAUAUAGUAAUUAAGUCACUAUUAUUCAAAAAUAAAGUUUUUAAAAGGUGAUUCAAAAUGUUAAAAUGUGCAUAAAAAUACAUGAAACCAGAACAUUGUUGCCCAUCUCUGAGUCAUUUAUUAGAAAACAAUACAAAAAGAUUCAUUAGGGAAAAAAAUCAAAAGAUCUGUUGAGUUCACCAUGACCUGAAAUCUUCCUUCUGGAAAGUGAGUCUUCCUUUUGGCAGAAAUGUCCAUUUAACUAGCCUACUUUCUUUUGGUUGAUUGUUCUUUUGUGUUUGUGUGGUUACUCCCAACCCAAUCAAUCAGUGCCUUUGUUUGAUCCCUUCUUCUGUCAUCCCAAGAUGCUUUUAGCAUAGGGGACACAGAAGUGGGGUUGAAUUUGCUGUCAAUUAUGCAGUUAUCUGUCAAUGCUGGUUAAUGGAUUUUAUGAUUGUUCAUUUCACAUUGCUCUCCAGCAUUUCCAUCUUCCUUAAGUCUUCAAUAAGUUCUGGUCACACAAAUUCAAUUCAGUUUUAUCAAAGGAAACAAUCUCUUUGAGCUAGAAAAGACAGGAUUUCUGGAUUUCAUCUCAAAGUUGUAAAGACUUUCAAAAGUAAUCUAUGAACAUCUACUUGAACAAGAAUUUUCUCCCAAAUGUAUCAGACAAGAAGCCAUUCAUAUUUUCCUUGAAGAUACCCAGUGAGGGAAAAACUGCCUGAUGAAACUGAUGAAACUCAUUCUCCUUUGGAAUAGCUUUUCCUUUAACCCAUGCUUACCUAAUUUUUAAAUUCCAUCCAUUGAUCCUCAUUGUGCCCUCUGGAGCAUGAGAGACCUUAAAAACUGGGUGACAGCUAUCAUGAAGUCCCUCCCCAAACUCCAAGCUAUAUAUCCUGAGUUCCUUCCACCUUUCCUCAUAGAAUCUAAACUCAAGGUUCUCAUCAUCCUGAUUUUUCUCCCUAAAUAUUCUCCAACUUCUUUAAGAUUCUCCCUAAAAUAUAUAUUCCACUAGACUUCUGGACAGGACAGAAAACAGGAUUAUUUAAUUAUUUCUUGAGGUUGUAUCUCUCUUAACAGCAGCUUUAAGGUGAUACAGUGGAUAGAGCAUUGGGCUUUAAGUAAGGAAGAUCUGAGUUCAAAUCCAGGCUCAGACAGUUACUCAUUAUGUGUUCCUGGAUAAGUCAUUUAAUCUCUAUUUGUCUCAGUUUUCUCAUUGGUGAAAUGGGAAGAAUAAUAAUGUUUAUCUUCCAGGGUUGUUAUGAAGAUGAAAUUAGAUCAUUGUAAAUUGCUUAAUAUAGCACAGGGCACAUAGUGUUAUAUAAAAGUUAAAUCUAUUAUUAUGUCAGCUAUUAUUAAUGUACCUGAAGAAUAGAUUCAGUUUCUUGGCUGCUGUAAUAUACUUUUGGCUCAUAUGGAACAAUAAUCUGCUAAAACUCCCAUAUUUUUCCCAGGACUUCUGUGGAUUCAUGUUUCCCCUAUCUUGUACCUAACAAGAUUUCUAGACUCCAAGGAUAAAACUUUGCCCUUACCCCCUAUUUAAGUUAAUUUCAUUAAGUUGGCUCAAUUUUCUAGCCUGUCAAGAUAUUUUAGACUUGUAUCAUCUGAUGUGUUAACUCUUCCUCCAAGCUUUGUAAUGGUUCCAGAUCUGAUAAACAUGACCUCAACAUCUUUAUCCAAGUCAGUAAUAAGAAUAUUAUAUAGCACAGGAUUAAGCAGGAAGACCUAAGGCAUUCCACUAGAGACCUCCUUCUAAACUGAAAUUAAAGUAUUAAUAACUAUCAUUUGGAUCUGAUCAUUCAACCAGCCUCAAAUCUAACUGUACUCUCAACUCCUACACUUUCUAUUCCACACCUCUCCUCUGCCCCCAAGAAUUGUAUGAGAGAAACUAUCAAAUGUUUUGCUAAAAAUCUAGGUAACUCAUGUACAGCAUCCCCUUAAUCUACCAGGUUAGUGAUCCUGAAAAAAAAGGAAAUGAAGUUAAUCUGACAUAACACAAUCUUGAUGAAGACAUGUUUACUCUUUGUGAUGACCAUUUCCUUUUCUAGAUUUUCACUGACUAUCUAUGAGACGAUCUCCUCAUUUUACAGAUGACUAAACCAAGACUCCAAAGGAAAUGUGAUUUAUCUAAGAACAUGCAGCUAGUCAAUGUCAGAGUAGAAUAAGUGUCCUGCUCUUCUGUCUUUUUUGUGAUGCAUUUUCUGCAUAUUGGUGCAGGAAAACAACUUGCUCUUUCAUUCAUGUUUAAGGAGAAAGAAAAUACAUAUUUAAAACCAAGUUGAAAAAUAUCAGGUUUUUUAUUGUUCUCCUGCUCUUUUCAUUAGCAUAAAUUAGUAAAAGCUGAUUGAGUAAUGAAUUGUUGGCUCUUUCAGUAUCCUGCUGCCCCUUAUCCUUUGAAUAUUUCCCUGAAGUGAUAGACCUUUAAUAGAAACUGUAGUCAGCCCCACUCAUAGUAGCUGCCUCUACCAUGUGAUUUGUGGGCUAAGAGAAGCUUCUACUUUCCACCCCAAAAGCCUAAUUUGGUAUUAUUUUACCCCUAGGUCAAUUCAACAAGCAUUUAUUAUAUAGCUACUAUGUCCAUGGAACUUAUUAAGUGCUGAGAAUACAAAGCUUUCUACAACUCUGCUAUUUUUCUAAAGGAAUUUGCAAUUCAAUGAUGAUGAUGAUGAUGAUGAUAGCUAGCAUUGAUAUAGUGCCCACUAUGAGUCAGGCUCUUCAGAAAUAUCUUAUUUAAUCUACACAACAACCCUUUGAGUUAGAUGCUAUUAUUUUCCCCAUAUUAUUUUUGCUGAUGAGAAAACUGAAACACAAAGGCUAAGUGACUUAAUUGAGAUCAUAGUAAGUAUUUGGGGCUAGAUUUGAAAUUAGGUCUUCCUGAAUCCAAGCCCCACACUAUCUAUCCAUGGUACCCACCUAGCAGUAAUUCACACACACACAUAUUAUUUUAAAGUUUUCAAAGUGUUUCCAUAAUUAAUUUAUCUUAACCUCCCAACAAACCUUCAUGGAAGGUACUACAGAUAUAAUUAUUCCUAUUUUAUAGAUGAGGAAACUGAGGCUCAGAGGAAUUAAGUAAUUUGCCCAUGGUGACACAACUAGUAUGUAUUGGAAAUAGGAUCUGAGUUCUAUACCAAUAAAUCCUAUUAAAGAUCAAGCCAAGGCAUCACCUUUCAACCUGACUCCAGGUUUAGCAUUAAUCUACUAUGCCACUUGGGUGGUAGGAACAAGAGGGAAACAUGUACCUUAGAUGACGCCCAAAGUUCCUUUUCACCACAAAAUUCUGAGCUGGGGAAGGUAGAUAUGACGAAGGAGGGAUAGGGUACAGAAGGCAGAGUGAAGAGCUCUUGAAAGGGAAAUAGAAAAGAUCAUUGAUGACAAAUUUACCAGUUUUGCUUAGGGGCUUCCCCACUCAAAAGACUCUGCAUUAAAUGUGAACUGGGCACUAAGAGGUACCCCUGAAUUUAAUAGAAUAAUUUUAAAUUUAAUAAUUUAAUAGAAUUUAAUAGAUUCAUACACCAGAGCUGGAAGAGCCUUUUGAAAUCCUUUUGGCCCUAAGCAUCCAACAUGGAGCCUGCAGGCCAGAUGGGACCCCUAUGACCCUGGGGUACGGUCCACCAGAGAUUUUUAGCAAAAUAAUUUUACCUAAUUAGCUAGUCCACAUGAAACUGUAGCAAGGUCAGUAGGGAUUCACCAUUUGGCCUGCUGCUACUGCUGUGCUACUGAUUGCCUCUACCAAACUUGUAUCAAUUAGUCACUCUGACUCAAGUUGAAUAUAAUUAAAUUCAUGUGGCCUAAACACAUAUGGAUUUUUGACCAUGAGACAAACUCUUAAAAAGGCUGAAUUCCCCUCUCAUUAACAGAGAGAAAACAAAAGUUUGAAUUGUCUUGUCCAAAGUCACAUAUUUAGCUGAAUUGUGACUCCUGGUUCAGUGUCUUUCCCCUUUUAUCAUGUUAUUGUUUUUGUUCAGUCACUGAGUCGUGUCUGACUCUUCAUGACCCCAAGAACCAUAGCAUGCCUGGCCCUUCUAUCCUCUGCUAUUUCCCAAAGCCUGUCCAAGUUCAUGUUUGUUGUUUCCAUGCCAUUAUCCAUCCCUCUCAACCUCUGCCAUCCCCUUCUUUUGUCUUCAAUCUUUUUGCCCAGUAAGACUAUUUUCUCAUUAUAGGGCCAAAGUAUUUAAGCUUCAGUUUCAGUAUUUGGCCAUCUAGUUAAGAGUCCAAAUUAAUUUCUUAAAGUAACCUUUCCUAAAAUCUUGAAGUCAGCUUCAAUUGGCAAAAAGGUGUUUUUUCUCUCAGAUUCUAGACUGGUGUUUUGGCUUGUAACCCAGAGCUUAAGACCUCAAAGGCUCAGGUCUAAACAGUCCAGGAAGAUAUAAAGGUAGCCAAAUUUAAAACUGCUGGGACCACAUGUGUUCUGAUCAUUAUAAAGCAAAAUGUGCUUUACUUGGUUAAUUGGUCACAGAGGCCGAGGGGUUAGCCUUUUGCAAAAGAUUUCCAAAGGAGCCAGGGGAUUAUUUCAAAGACAAAAUUUUGGCAAAUGAGCUGUGAUGCAUAUUUGUGAGGACUUAAUUUGGGGAAUGAUAUUUCACACCAUGUUUUAAUGAAAGAGCUAUUUUAGUUUGAGUACUGGUAAACAGUUGUGUGUUAUCUUCUGUUGAGGUAAAAAGAGGAGAAGGGAAGGGAAAGAAGUAGAAGGCAAAAGAAAGACAGAGACAGAAAGAGAAGGAAGGAAAGAAGAAUAUUCUAGAGCCUGUUUAAAAAGCACUCAACAGAGGGUCAUCCUGCCCACAAAGACCUUUCUUGGUUGGAAAGGAAUAAUUCUGACUGAUCAAAAUCAAACAAUAGCAGAAGACAGUUGAUCAUUCUGGAGAGAGGCUAGAGGAUAGGGGAGACAGUGGUUAGACCCCAUAAAAAAUUUAAUCUUUCUUCACUGCAUUGAGAGGUAGAGGUAAAGAGUCAGGAGGGGAAGAUCUGGGGGAGGGAGUGUAGUAGAGCAAAGAGGAUAGUAGGGAUGGCAGUUAUAUAGAGUGGCAGGGGAAUGCUCCCCCUAACCAUCUGCAUCUCCCUUCUUCCAUUUACCCAUAGUUUUUAAUCUGAUCUGAUGAAAUAUUCCAAUCCUAGCUGGGGGUUCUCAACAGUUUUUCCCUGUCUAAAAAUUCACCUUUUUUCCACUGAUAGAAAUAAUAGAUCAAAUUCAUUGAAUUUCCCAAUAUAAAUUGGAGGGGCCAGUACAAGGAAGCAAAGACCCAGAAUAAAAACUAAUAAACACCUGAGAAGAGAUAACAACAGUUAUCUAUGGAUAUAUACACAAGCAUCUUUAUUGUAGACAUCUGGCAUAAUUAAUAUAGUAAAGAGAAUAAAGCCCUAUGAGAAGCUAUACUUGGCAAGCUAGAGGACAGUUCAGAUUCAGUAUUAAUAGCAAAUGUGACAUUAAUAUAACAAUUAACAGAAUGCUAUAGGAGGACCUAAGAUAUUUGGGCUCUGUUUACAAUUCUUUUAGUUUUUUUGUCUCUGGUGGCUCAUGGAAAAAAUAAAGUGUGCAGAAGCAUCUUAUCAUCCUAGGGUGAGAGAGCACCUACCUUUGACCCUCAUUGCCCAAUGCAUCCUGAACAAGAAUGGCCUCUACAAUACCCAAUAGGGCUUUUGUUGGAGUGGGGAUGGAUGGGUGGGUGGAUGGAGGGAUGGAAAUGCAAUAUCCCAAGACACACAUUUCUACCUUUAGGUAGUUUCAACUGUGAGAAUAUAGAACAACUUAAAAUGUGUGUUGUUUGGUCAGUCAGUCACAUCUGACUCUUUAUGACCCAAUGGACCAUAGACUACCAUGUGCUUCCAGCCUUCACGAUGUCUUGAAGUCUGUCCAAGUUCAUGUUCGUUGUUUCUAUGACGCUAUCUGCAUUUCAUCCUCUAUCAUUUCCUUUUCCUUUAACCCUCAAUCUUUCCCAACAUCAGAGCUUUUCCAGUGAGUCCUGUCUUCUCAUUAUGUGGCCAAACUAUUUAAGUUUCAAUUUCAGUAUUUGACCUUCCACUGAAUAGAUUGAAGUAUUUUAAGUAUUGACUGCUUUGAUCUCCUCGUGGUCCAAAGGACUCUCAAAAGUUGUCUCCAGGAACACAUUCAAAAGCUUUGGUUCUCCAGCAACUCAGCUUUCCUUACUCUAAUUCUUGUUGCCAAGUGUUGCUACUGGAAAAACCAUACCUCUGACUUUGCCAGCAAGGUGAUUAUUGCUUUUUAAACCAGUGACUUGGAUCAAGGCAAAGAUGAUAUAUUUAUUGAAUUCACCAAAAGCACAAAAUUUAGAGGGAUAACUGCCAUGCUGAAGGUUGGACUAAAGCUCCAGAAAGGACUUGGCAUACUCAAAUAAUGGGUCAAAUUGAUUAAGAUGAAAUUUAGUAGGGAUUACUAUAAAGUCAAAUGCUUCCAUUUCAAAGAUCAAUUUCAAACAUAUAAAAUGGGGAGACACAGGGAGGGAGCAAUUUGGAAAAAAUGGGGAUUUUUGUGGGUUGCAAGCUCAAUGAGAGAGCAUAGUACUCAGUUAUAGGCAUUCCAUUUUUGGCAGGAUAUUUAUAAGUCAAAAAGCAUUAGGAAAAAACAACUAGAUGGUGAAGGAAAUUUAAUUCUUUUAAAAUACUAAUAUUUUAUUUCCCCCAAUUACAUAUAAAACAAUUUUUUAACUUUCAUUAAAAUUUUUUUGUUUCAAAUUCUUUCCCUUCCCACCCUCUCUCUCUUUCUUUUCCCUCCUCUCCCUCCCUCCUUACUCCUCCCUGCUUGCUGAGACAAUAAGCAAUCUGAUACAGAUUUUACAUGUACAAUCAUGUAAGACAUUUUUACAUAUUAGUCAUUUUGUGGAAGAGAUCUCAAAGAAAACAAACAAAUAAACAAACAAAAAAGGAAAGACAGAUUGCCUCAUAAUGUUAAUUUAACUUGGUUGAGUUAGCCAGGAGAAGAUAUAGUGGGUCAUGAUAGCUAUAUUCAGGAAUUUGGAGGGCUGUAAAAGAAGAAAGAUUAGACUUAGUCUAUUUGACCCCAGCAUGCAUAACUACAUAUAGUUGGAAGAAAGUAGAAAUUAGUGAUUCAUGUAAGGAAAAAUUUCCUAACAAUCAGAGCCAUCCAAAGGCAGAGUGGGCUACUUCAGAAGUAGUGAAUUCUUUCUCAUUUAAAAGUUUUCAACUGAAAGUACCAUUUAUUACGGAUAGAGAUACAUGUAUAACUCAGAUUGAAUUACUUGCCAAAUCUGGGAGGGGGAAGGGAAGAAGGGAGUGAGACAAUUUUGGAUUAUAUAAUUUCAGAAAAUUUAUGUGGAAAUUUAUUAAAAUAUAAUAAAAUAUGGAUAAAAGACUUUUGCUUAUAUAUGAAUCGAGCUAGAGAUUCCUUCCAUCUCUGAGAUUCAUAAUCAUCAAUAAUCAAAUCAUUUAUUAAGUACCUACUAUUUGCCAGAGACUAUGCUAAGCACUGGGUAUAUAAAGACAAAUAAAAACAGUCCCUGCUCUCAAGGAGCUCACAAUCUAAUGUCUAAGAGAAGAUGUUGAUAGGGCAUAUGAGAUACUCUGAUGAUGUGAUUCAGUGAAAUAUCAUUUAUAAUGUGGGGAUUCUUAGUCCUAGACCCUGAAUCUUUACUACCUGCCUCCAAAUGGCUCUCUAAACUCACUCACCAGUUUUCAAAGCCCUUCUGUUCACCUCAAACCCUCAACUCAGACCUCUUGGUCAGGCAAAGGCUUUGACUGAGGAAAGAUCUGUGGGUUACCUGAAGUUUUACACACAGUGAUCUCUAAUCUGGGUGUCAAACUAACUCACUGAUUCCUUCAGGCGAUUUAUACGCUGGAGGCUCUUUUGAAACCCUAGGUUGCACAAGAGAUAGAGAAAAACAUGCUUGUGAACAUCUGGAUGCUUUGAAAAAGAACAUGUCAAAAACUUAGUGUGUGAGGCAUUUUGAAAAGAAGUAGUGAUUAAUUAAACAGCUCUCCAAGGAGCUGAUUAAGGACAAAACUGUCUUUUUCCCUUUUCUUUGAUGCCAUCUCAGUCCUUCAUCAUUACUCAUCCAUAGAUUGUCCUAUUACUAGAUUGUUUGCUGGACUCUAUAUGGAACUCCAUUUCUUUGGAUGCCUAGGUAUCUAAGUAACAUAGUACAUACAGCACUGGGCUGGGGGAAGAUUUGGGUUCAAAUAUAUCAUUAAACAUAUGCUAGCUAUUUGACCCUUGGCAGGUCUCUUAACCACUGUCAGCCUCAAUUUCUGAAUCUAUAAAGUGGGGAUAAUAUUAGCACCUAUCUCUCAGAGUUGUGGUGAGGAACAAAUAAGGUGGAUGCUUUUAAAGUGCUUAACACAGUGCCUGGCACAUAGUAGGUGAUUAAUAGAUGCUUGUUUCCUUCCUUUCCUUUUUCUUCUUUUGCAAAGACAGAUUUAACUAGGAUACCUUUCUUCCUCACCUAUUUCUCAAAAUUUUUUGCUUCCAUCAAGGCUCACCUCAGGUGCCAUUUCAAUCAAGAGGUUUUUGCCUUAUCUACCUCUAUCUCCCAAUCAGUAUUCCUUUCCUGCCAGGAAUGAGUAUACUUUGCAUUUAUUUAUUGGGAUGCUUAAUAUAUCACCCCCCCCCCAGCAAAAUGUAAGCUUUAUGAAGGCAGGGACUGCUCCAUUUCUAUUAUUGUCCCAGUUGGACCCAAUCAAGGCCCCUUACUGUCUGAUGUUGACAGAAUCAGAGUAGUCCAAGACAUUGGAGAAGAAUAAUUGAAUUGUAUUCCUUUAUACCUAUCUUAAUCUCUCUCAUACUUGAGGGAUUUUUAUAACACUAAGUCCACAUAGUGUUAUAAAGCAAGCCCACAAGCUUCUCUAAGCUGUAGGUGUGUUGAGAGGGGUAUUUUGAGCAGUUAGAGGGUAUAGUGAAUAGAAUGCUGGACAUGGAAUCAAGAAGACCUGAGUUCAAAUGCGGUCUCAAACAUUUACUAGCUAUGUCACCCUGGGGCAAGUCACUUAACCAUGUUGGUCUCUGUUUGCCAUCUGUAAAAUGAGCUGAAGAAGGAAGUAGCAAACCACUCCAGAAUCUUUGCCAAGAAAACUCCAAAUGGGGUCAUGAAGAAUCAGACAUAACUAAAAAACAAUGAGGGACAUUUUACCCUCUGGAGAAUAAGUAAAUAGAAGGUUAUUUUUCCCACCAGGUUAUACUCCUCUGGACUUUUCUACUGUGUUCCAGAAAGCUUUCUUUCCUAGAAGAUGUCUUUAGCACUAGAACUCACAAACUCAUGCUUCAGAAGUCCUCUUUGCCUAUGAUGCUCUUCUCUCUGAUUGAAAAAAAAAGAGGGGUCCUCCCAGAGCUUCCAUUUGAAAUAAGUACCCUGGUCAGCCAUUAUUCUAUUUCCUAUCAUUCUACAUUCUUUAGUUCUUCAAUACUCUCCUGGGCCAGGCAACCCGUCUUCCACCUUCCUUUUAUAUGUUGUAUAUAUCCUCAGCCUUCAACAUAGCACCUCCCACUUAGGCCUUAAUAAAUGCUUCUGACUGAUGCACUGACUUAUAAGCCUCUCCUAGGCAUCAGCUGUCUUUCUUCUCUUCUAUCCCUUGUCCCUGUCUCUUUUAUCAAAGUUUUAUAGGCAAUUAGUAUAUUAAAGGUUUUAUAUUUUAAAUAUUUCAAUUCACUGCGAAAUAAAAUGCACUUUGAGAAGGUGAAUGAGCAGCUAUGAUAUCCAACUUUUAAAAAAAUUUUUAAAAUCUUAAUAACAAAAUUCCACAUAAAUUAUCUGAAGUUAUAUGAUCCAUAUCAUCUCCUUCGCUUAUUCCCUCCCAUUCCUAGAGUAGACAAGCAACUUAAUCUUGGUUAUACAUGUAUUAUCAUACAAAACAUAUUUCCAUAUUAUUCAUUUUUAUAAGUGAAUAAUCUUAUAAAACCAAACAUAUACCCAAACAAGUGAUAAGUCAUAUGUUUUCAUCUGUACUUCUACUCCAAUAGUUCUUUCUCUGAGGAUAGAUAGCAUUCUUUGUCAUAAGUCCCUCAGAAUUGUCCUGGAUCAUUGUAUUGGUGUUAGUAGUAGUCUAUCAAAUUUGAUUGUUCCACAAUUUUGCAGUUUCUGUGUAUAAUGUUCUCCUGGUUCUGCUUAUUUCACUGUGCAUCAGUUCACACAGCUCUUUCCAAAUCUUUCUAAAGCAUGACAUCCAACUCUUGCCUGUGGCUCCAAGAAGCUUAGCAUGCUCAGCAAUAGCACCUCAAUAAAACCAUCUUGGCAACUGGGUUAAGCCAGAUUGAGGGUAAUAGAUCAAACACAAACUGAUCAGUGGAAGGGGGUUGGAGUUCUACUUCAGACAGUCAAAGAAUUCCUCAAGUAGAAUAAGGAAAGUGAGAACAAUUAGCACUUAGAGCUUGGUUAUACAUUGGAAAGAAGCCAAAGUCAUCCAUAGCAUGCCAGCCAAUUGCCAUUUCUCCUGACUUUUGUCAUGAUGGACUUCAAUAACUCUGGAAGAGAGAAUGAGGUUAAUGACUCUGUGAAACUCUGUCUCACUUAAAUGCAAAUCACUUGCAAGUAAAGACAUCAUCCCAUGAUGUCAUUGGUCUUCUUUGAAAACAUAGGACGACCAACAAAAUGCACUUGGAUUUAGAAAAGAAUUGUUUGCUGUUGGUAUUGUUGGUAAAAAAAAAGUCAUUUGCGUCUUACUUUUUAGUAGUGAUUUGAUAUAAUUGAGAAUGCAUGCCUUUAUGAACAAAGAAAACUAAUGUUUUGUUUUAUUCUUUGUUAUCAAUGCUCUUUAUUUUCAGUUAAAGACAUUCUGGUUUUGUGAAGAACAUAAGGGGCUUGGAAUGAGAAGAGACCCAGGUUUAAACCCUUUAUCUGAUACUUUCUAGUUGUCCCCCUCUGGGAAAGUCACUUAACCUCUUCCAGCCUCAGUUUCCUCAUUCAUAAAAUGAGGAUAUAACAAUUCUACCUUGAGGGAUUUACAGUAUUGCUAUAAAGGGAAAAUGAGCUAAUGCUUAUGAAAUCAUUUUUAGAUCUUAAAAGUAUUAUAGAAAUGGUUUCUACUAUUAUUUGUUUCAUUUCUUUCUCCUUUAAUUUUUCAUCAUUUUCAUUUUCUCUCUUCAGUCACUUCUGUGUGUUUUGAGACAUGUUUUAGUUAUUUGUAUGUAGUCCAGACUAAAUAAUAACUUCUUUUCAAUAUUCUCUUUCCCUUCUGAAUCUAGAGAUGUCCUAGGCUGGAGAAAUAUAGUUAGAUUUAUUUCAUGAUGGGAUCUACUUUAAGUUCCUUGUAAAAAAAAUUGCAUAUUUAUGCCAGUUUUUGCUAUACUUCUUCCCUAUAAAUGGCCUAAUUUGGGUCCUUGAAGAUAAUUUGAGGGAGCACAAAAGAGACACAUCAUGAUAAGCAUGGAAAGGUUUCAAGUAUGGAUCCAGUGACCAUCUGGGUGUCUUUUAUCUGAUUACUAGCCUUGGUAAGUGUGGAAAGACUCAUCAAUAGAAGGUUGGCUACCAGAACAUGAAUUGCUCUGGUCAUAGAAAUAUAGGAAGAUUCCAUUUAUGUAGAGGGAUUGCAUUCUAAGUUGGUGGAAAGAUCAUAGGAUCCAAGGUUUAGUGGAAGGUACCUCAAAGGUCAUCAAGUCCAUUACCCCCUUAUGCCAAAUAAGUAGUUGAGGAUGAAAGAUGUUAAGUGACUUAUCUAAGAUCACAGAGGUAUUAAAAGUCAGAGCCACGAGUGAACUUCAGUGCUUUGACUCCAGAGAAAGAGCUCCCUCCAUUAUACUGUUCUGCUUGUCAAAUGGAGUUCCCACAUCAGUAAAAUCUAGUUUGCCUUAAUGUAGUGAUAUAUAGACAUAUUAUAAUGAUAUGUUUUUUGUGGCUAGUUGAUUUGUUGAGAAGCAAAGAAUUGUAUGCACUGGAAAAGGAAGUUUAACUUUUAUUGGUCACCUACAGUACAGGAAUAAGAAAGAGAUACUAUGUGUUGACCUGUGGCUGUUUGGUUGAAUUAUGAUAUUCAAUAAUCUCUCUGAUGUCUUUGGGGGUAGACCACCAGAAAUAUGGGAAUGGAAAAGGAGACAGUAGGGAAUGCAAGAAGAAAAAUGAGGAAGUUCAGAAAUCAGGAAAACCAAUAAGUAAUGGAGAUGUGCACACUAAGAGACAGCCAGCUUCAGAGGACAGAAGAUUGGAUUUGAGUCAGAAAACUGGAGUGAUUUAAUGAUAAGGUAGAAUCAUUGUUUGUCAGGAUGACUUCUUGCUCUUGAAAUGAAAUAACUCUCCUGGAUUAAAUUGCAAAUGUCAAAUGUAAUAAUGCAUGGCCCAUAAUUAGUUCAUGAGGCUUUUAUGCUUUUCAUAUAUCUAAUAACUCAUGAAUCUCUUGGGGGAAUUAUCUUUAAAAUGUAUCCUCAGAUACUUUGACUUCAAUUCUGAGGCAGAAAUUCCCAAGUUUUUAGGUAGAGCUAGAUCCUCAGUGUUCUAAGAAUAAAAUUUCCCUUGAAGAUUCAGAAAUCUGGAAUAGAAGUAGUAAUAGUAGUAGUAGUAGUAGUAGUAGCAGCAGCAGCAGCAGCAGCAACAGCAACAGCAGCAGCAGCAAUAGCAACAGCAGCAGCAGCAACAACAGCAGCAGCAGGAUAUAGAUUUUUAAAGUUUAGGGGGCAUCUGGGUAGCUCAGUGGGUUGAGAGUCAGACCUAGAGACAGGAAAACCUGGAUUCAAAUCUGGCCUCAGAUACUUCCCAGAUGUGUGACCCUGGGCAAGUCACUUAACCCCACUGCCUAGUCCUUACCACUCUUCUGCCUUGGAAUCAAUACACAGUAUUGAUUCCAAGAUAGAAGGUAAGAGUUUUAAAAAAAGAAUGUUUACAGUUUAUUAAGGUUUCCCAAUCUUAUGAAUCUUAUCUCAUUUGAACCUCAUAGCAUGCCUAUGAGAUAAGAAAUUAUUAUCCCCAUUUUAUAGAUGAAGAAACCGAGGCCCAGAAAAUAUGAUUUGCCUGUGGUCAUGCAACUAGUAAUAAUAAUAUUUCUAGAGUAUUUACCAAACACCAUACCAAGUACUUUAUAAUUAUUAUCCCAUUUGGUCCUCACAAUAACCCUAAGGGGUAGGUACUAUUUUCUCCCCAUUUUAUAGAGGAAACUAAAGCAUGUAAAGGUUAAGUGACACGUCCAGGGUCAUGUAGCUAUUAAGUCUUUUAGGCUGGAUUAGAACUCUGGUCUUCCAUACUCCAGUUGGGUCACCCUGCCAUAUUGGAUAUGACCUGCAAAGGAACUGAGCCAAUCAUGUACUGAGAGUCAGAAAUCACAGUUGGAUAUUCUGAAGGGCAUCCCAUACUUCCAAGACAUUAAAAAACCCAAAGGGAACACAUUUAAUUGGUCAUCUAUGGGAGAUUUAUUGAAAACUAUAGACAAGAGUCACCCAAGAGAAGAGGGCAUGGGACAGAGGAGAUUAUAGUCUGUGACUAGAGGUAAUACCUCUGUGGAUGAGAUCCUGAAGCCUUCCAAGUACUGAAAUUAAUUAAAAUGAUGUAUUUCCAGCCUAUAGAAGGUCUACUCCCACAUUAUGCUUAAACUGUACUUUUCAAACCUAUUCCAAUGUGAGUUGCUUUUUUACUUCUCUUAUCUGUCAAAGCACUUGACUUGACUAAAUUCAGGUGUGAUCAUAGACUAGCAGACAAAAUUGCUCAUAGACAUUUCCCUGGAAACCAAAAGGGAAAAAAAUGCAUGCAAACUUUCCUUACAAUAUGUUUUUUGGCAGUGGUCAUUGUUGUGGUCCUGUUGAAAAUCUAUUGGCAUGGAAUGGUUGUGUGUAACUGACAUUUGGUACUUUGGUUUGCAUUCAUGUAAACAGCCAAUUUCUUCAGCUGGUCAGAAAUUGCCAGUGGAAAGGAGACUGAGAGUGUCUCUUCAGUAAAUUCUUGCGGGAAAGACAUACCAUUUUUUAUUUAUGAAGUGGUUUCUGAUGCUUUAGGCCAUUUGGUGACCAGACAUUGACCUUUGUCCUUUUUCUGUGGGACAAUGGAGCAUAUUGUCAGGUGCUAUGGCACUGUUUGGGUGUGCAGGCAUUCUGGGCUUUAAUUAUUGUGGAUAAAGCUGAUGCCAAGUUUGGAAUAAAAUGCUGAUGGCUCAGUAACUUAGGCAACGAAUCAAUAGAAAGAUUGCUGUAUGUUUGGAGGCCAGGAAAGCCACAGUAUCUGUCCAUUCUUGUAUCUAAUUAAGUCUAGAGAGGUUAACUUCUUAGGUUAGACACUUUCCUUGUUUAUUUGAAGGACUUGUUCUAACUGUAUUAGCUGCUUUUACAUGUCACUUCAACAUAUUAAAAAUAACUUUUACCCCUAUUUCUUUCUCUUGGGACAUUCAUGCAAAUAAGUACUAAAAUACAGACAGAGUUUUUUUGAGUGUAUUUAAUUUAUAAUUUGAGAUGACGUGUUAGCUAUGAUUUUUAAAAACCUCUUGUAUAAAACAGACUUAAAAAAAUUAAGGGACCCUCCUUCCCCAGGCCAUGAGCUUUCCAUGUGCUUUGUGAAAUGCAUAUCUUGUCAAUUUUUCAUUAUUAGCCUCAAGUUGUUGGAUUACUCAUUAUUAUUCUUGAGAAGACUGGUACAUAGUGGAGCUGGCAAAAAUCUCUAAUAAUGGUUGAUUCUACGGGCAGCUAUAGGUAACUCUUCAUCACCAUUUGCAAGGCCAUAAUCUUGCCCACAUACACACACACACAUACACACAUGCUUAAUGAUCUGGAAAAGGCUGCAUGAAUUAUAAUCCAUGAGCAGAAUAGAAUAUGGUUAUGAUUGUACCAUAACCUACCAUAAGAAAUGACAAAUAUGAAGACCACAAAGAAACUUGAGGAUUCCAAUGAAUGAUUCACUACAAAAAAUAGUAUAAUGUGUACACUAACUGCAAUUAUUUUCUUAAAGAGUAUUUUAGUAAAACAGCAAUAAAAUGUUCCCCAAAUGCACCAAAGAAAAAGGGACUAUGGGACACAAAGGCAAACAAAAUAUCUCAAUUAUUAUUUUGUUUAAAUAAGUAUACAGAUUUUAACACAGUAUAAAUAGGCUGAAGUCUGUGAUUUUCUGAGCCAUAAUUUUUUCAUGUUAUUUAAUUAAUUCUUUGAUAGAGCUUUUUGAGAGUUAAGAAUUUUCUAAGAUAAACCUAAGGUUUUUUUUGGGGGGAGGGGUUGCCCUGCAGCCAUCGAUAAAUAAUGGUUUAUCACCCAAUAGCUCUAACUUCCUGCCUCAUUCAUUACAGCCCCAAAUGAUAGAUCAUUCAUUACAAUAAUUCUGUCUCUAAAACUCAAACGAUGGGUCAUCCACUGGUACUUUUAUUGCUACUGGAAGGAGAGAGCAUAGAAUAGCUAUUGAAGACUGGAACAGAGGGACUGGUGUUUCCUAACUGUCAUGGUAACUAUACCAUUGGAGCUUAAUUCUCCAUUAAAUUUUUAAGGGAUAUCCAUAGAUGGAGAGACUUAUGCUUGGCCACCUUGACCCAGGAUAAACAGAUACCUUCAAAUCAUCUCAAAUGAUGAAAGGACUCCUUAUAUGUAGCUGUUAUUACUCUUACUUAUCAUACCUAUCUAAUUAGGUGAAUACAGAUAAUUUAUUGAGUAGCAGUGUGUUGCUAUGGAGAUUUGACUUAAAAAGAUUUGUUUAGGGUAGGUAUCAACUCAAGGGACCCAUGCUAAAAAAUUCUAUCUAUAGCUAAAGAAUGAAGUGUUGGUGUGUGAUUUCAGAUCAAAGUAUGCCAUCUUCCACUUUAUUUCCUGCAUGGGAUUUUUACUGAAAAUGUGAUAUGUGUCUUCUCUUAAGACAUGAGCAGUAUGGAAAUAUGUAUUGCAUGAAAGCCCUGGUAUAACUUAUAGAAUACUAUUUACCAUCUGGGGUAAGGAUGGAGGGAAGGGAAGA